rnacentral:lncRNA from 1 species
AUUAUGAAGAGUGCCUUAUGUAUCACAGAUGCUCAAUAAAUAUCUAAAUUGCGGGGGAUGCUAGGAUUAUUCACUCGUUUGAAAUGUUAUAAAAAUAUGAAUACCUCCUAUAUACACAGACUGCUACAGCUACAAGUUUAAAAAAAAAAGCCACUUUUUAUUGAGCUUACCUUGGAUAUGUUAUUUCUAAUCCCUACCGCAAUCCUGCAAAAUAAGUAUUAUUAUCACUAUUUUGCAGAUAAGGAAAGUGGCUCAGCAAAACUGAAUAAUUUAUCCAGGAUCACACAACCUGCUUUCAAUCUAGUUAGGGAACUAAACAUACAUAUAUGGAAAACUAUACCAUUGCAAGUUAGUGUUAUUAGUCUGGAAUACUCAGGGAAAGCUAGAUAGGGAGGAUAGGGACUGAAAUGGACCAUAGCCUAUAAACAUUUGAAAUACUAUUUGAAAUAUUAUUGAGCUACAUGAAUAAGUAAAGCAAUGCAAAUUAAUAGCUGCCCUUUUUCCCUUCCAAAUUACCAAAUAUGUUUUCAAUAUUCAUUCUGAAGGCAACAGACAGAGAAAGCUGGAAUAAAUUUAUGCCAAAAUAUGAUCAACAGUUGUCUAGGUAUUGGAAUAUUUUUGUUAUAUUCUUCUAAACUCUCCUAAUAAGUUCUACAAUAAGCAUGUAUUACCUUUGUAAUCAGAAAAAUAAACUUUAAAAAAUUGUGUAGGCUUCAGAUGCCAUAUGUGUAACUUCAUCCACUUACAGUAUAAAGACAUGGGGUGGAAUGGGAAGUCAUUAGGAAGAGAUAGGGAAGUGCAAAUAUAAAUAACUAAGUUAAAAAGAGAAAAAUAAUUACCACAAAGAAAUGAGAGCAUGGAGAAAGAUUCAGCUUAUAAGGAUUUCCAUUUCUCCAUUGCAGCACUAAUUAAGAGCAAGAAGGAUAGAAACUGUUUAAAUGUUCAACAAAAGGUACAAGGGAAUACAUGCAACCAUGUUGUUAAAGUGUCUUCUUUUAAUGAAAUAUGUUCAUGAAAGUUUUUGUAAGUUACAAAACAGCAUAUACAACGUGACUCCAUUUUAACAUUUAAUUUAUUAUAUGCAUAGAAAGGGUCUGGAAGACUGCUCCAAAGUGUACACAUUGGUUGUUUCUGGUGAGUGGGAUUUUAGUUUUUUGUUUUGUAUUUGCCUUCAUUUUCUGAAGCAAAAAUAAUCGCUUUUUUAUAGGAAGUAAUUUGAAGUUAUUUAAAUAUAUCACAGCAACAAAUGAAGUUGCAUAUAAUUUUAAAGUGCUUUCCACCUUUCAUCUUUUUAAUAACUAACGUCUAAUCCAUUUAUCGAGGACCAACAAAAAUUCGGUGAGAUUACAGCCUUCCCUGAGCUUUCCAGUCAUCGUGACUGCUGGGAAAGAAGAGAACAGCCACCGCCGGCCUCCGCAGGAAUGCACUACACUCAGCCCAGGAAUUCCCCUACGAACCGCCGGGCGACAGACAGGCAUUUACUUCCGGGAGGAGUCAGCCCUCCGAACCCGGAAGAGGUUAUCCAGUUGUGCCCCGCAGGAGCGCCUGCCCGGGGGAUCUGGGUCAUGCCGUCUGGUUCGUCUUUGAGCAUUCCGACGAGAUGAAAUGUGGCCCAGAGUAGCUCCUGUCACUUCUCCAGCUUUCUGCCUCCUUUUAGAAAAUUGAGUUGAAGAGACAGAGAUGAAGUGGACGCAGCAUGUGAAGACAAUUCUUUCAAGAAGUUUGGCUGUAAAGGAGAAAAAAAAGUGCCAUCGAGUUAAUUCUGACUCCUAGUGACCCUGUGGACAGCAGAGCGGAACCCUGCCCGGUCUUUCUGCGCCAUCCUCUCACCUUCUGGUGUUACAUCAGACAAUGCUCUGCUGCUAUUCAUAGGGUUUUCAUGGCCAGUUUUUUUCAGAAGCGAGUGGCCAGGGCCUUCUUCCUAGUCUGUCUUAGUCUGGAAACUCUACUGAAACCUGUCCACCAUGGGUGACCCGCUGGUAUUUGAAAUCCCGAUGGCAUAGCUUUCAGCAUCACAGCAACAAGCAGCCACCACAGCAUGACAACCGACAGUCAGGUGGUGUGGUCCCCUGACUGGGCAGUGACCAGGGCCUCGGCGGUGAGAGCGCCAGAUCUUAACCACAAGACCACCAGGGCUGGCUUAAAAAUUAUCACAAGGAGAAAAAAACAAACAAACACAACCUGCCCCCCCCAACACACACACACACCCCUGUAAUUGAUGUUGAAGCAGGAACCCGAGAACAUAUUUGCAACAUAUAUCACAAAAGCUGUAUGUCCUUACUAUACAAAGAGCUCUAACAUCUCACUAAAAAGGUCCAACACCCUAACAGACAAACCUGGCGAGGAACAUGAACAAGCAAAUAGCACACACACACUACAAAUGGCUGAGCAUGUGGAAAUACUUUUGUUCUUGUUAGUGAAGAAAUACAAAUAAUGGCAACAAUGAGAUAUGUUUUCAUUGGAUUAGCAAAACUACAAAGGUUGGUGUUGGCAGAGAUAGGAGAUAGGGUACUGUCAGAGUAUAAAUCAGUUAGGCCGUUCCAAGUGCAGUGUGGCAACAUGUAUCAAAAUGUGAAAGAUGCAAACCUUUGAAUCAACAGUGAUGCUUCUAGGAAUGUGUCCAAAGGUGAUAAUCAGACAAAUCAGAAAAGACGCAUGUGCAACAAUGUUCAUUACAGUAGUUGUUAAAAAUUGGAAACAACUUAAAGGCUUAUAAAUAAGAGACUAAAUGUAAUUUUGAGCAAAAAAUAGCUUGUUACAAAACAUCGUGAGAAAUGUGAUCCUGUUUAUAUAAAUUACGUGUAAGUACACAUAGAAGUAAUGUUUAACAAAAUGUUAGUAAUGGAAAUCUCUGGUGGGAUUUCAGAUGAGUUUCAAGCUUGUGAAAAAGUGAGAAAAUGGUAUGAACUACUGUGUACCCCACUCAGCUACAAUGCAUGCCCAGUCUUGUUUCAUCUAUGGUCCCACCCCAGUUUUUGAGGCAAAUCUAAGACAGCUUAUCUGUAGAUAGUUUGUGUACCUCUAAAAGAUAAGGAUGCUUUUAAAACAUAAUCUCAAUAUCAUCAUACCUAAAAAACUUCUAACAAUUCCUUCAUAAAAUCAAUUAUAUCUGAUCAGUGUUCACAUUUUUGUCUUAUACAUUGUUUUGUAGUUAGAUCGAGGUCCAUACAUUACCAUUCGUCUGUGUAUUUCCUAAUGUAUAGAUUCUCUCUCUCUCUCUCCCUCUUUUUUCCCCCCUGCAAUUUAUUUGGGGAAGUAACUGUGUUGUUUGAGCUAAAGAGGAGUUUUGAGAGUAGGCCUGACCCUAAUAUUUACAGACCUGGGACCAUAGUGCAAAUGGAGCCCCAAAUACCAUAUAUCUAACUAUUUAAAUGCCUCAGCUCCAGCUAACAGUUCUGUACAUUCUACACUCCUGCCUUGACAAAUAAACCCUCUUAACGACCUGGAAAGCCAAGUUAGAAUUUAGAAUUCUCAGACUUCUUAGAAUUCCUCACUGGAUUGUGCUUCACCGGGGAGCUGGCACUUGGCCCACAGGCCGUCCCAUUCUCUUCCCACCUCUGGCUCCAUACCCUUCUCAAGGACACCCCAGCCCACAAGUCCAAGUUCAAUCUACACCCUGUGCAAACAGUUGUGGCAGCCAGCUUGGAAUCAUGAAAGAAGCCAACCUCAGAGGAAAAGCCAACAUGCUGAGGAUGACAGAACAGAAAGAUGGAAGGAGGCUGGGUCCCUGACGAGGUCACUGAGGACACACCCUGGCUCCAGACUAUUGUGAUACAAGACAAUAAAUGUUUAAACAACUCUGAUUGGGUUUUCUAUUACCUUCAGGAAGGGCCUCACGACUGAUAAAAGCGCAUUCCUCACUUGACCCCUAGGCUGGCCACCUGGAC